GGCACUGAAGGGGCGACCAGAAAACCAGGCGUGGAAUGAUGUGGGCGGGAUUUCAUCUGAGUUCUUAACUGUCAAGUUCAAGAAAGUGAGCCAGAGGCUAAUCAACACUGAACUGUGACAGAAAACAUCAGAGCAGUGAAUAAUAGGUGAAAGCUGAA